GUUAGGAAUAUUGGACAAUGGGCGAAAGCCUGAUCCAGCCAUGCCGCGUGAACGAUGAAGGCCUUCGGGUUGUAAAGUUCUUUAGCCGAUGAUUAUAAUGACUGUAGUCGGAAAAUAAGCCCCGGCUAACUUCGUGCCAGCAGCCGCGGUAAUACGAAGGGGGCGAGCGUUAUUCGGAAUCACUGGGCGUAAAGCGUGCGUAGGCGGUUUUGUAAGUUAGGAGUGAAAGCCCAGGGCUCAACCUUGGAAUUGCUCUUAAAACUGCAAGGCUCGAAUCUCGGAGAGGAUAGCGGAAUUUCCAGUGUAGCAGUGAAAUGCGUAGAUAUUGACAGGAACACCAGUGGCGCAAGCGGCUAUCUGGACCGAUAUUGACGCUGAGGCACGAAAGCGUGGGGAGCAAACAGGAUUAGAAACCCUUGUAGUCC
rnacentral:rRNA from 1 species